UGGCUCAGUUGGUAGAGCAUGGUGUUUGCAACGCCAGCGUCGUGGGUUCGAUUCCCAC
rfam:Salmo salar isolate Sally breed double haploid chromosome ssa25, whole genome shotgun sequence.